rnacentral:miRNA from 1 species
CUUGCUGAUGGGCUGUCAUUGGAA